CAGGACUACUGGGGUAUCUAAUCCCUUUCGCUCCCCUGGCUUUCGUCCAUGAGCGUCAGUGAUGGCCCAGCAGAGCGCCUUCGCCACUGGUGUUCUUCCCGAUAUCUACGCAUUUCACCGCUACACCGGGAAUUCCCUCUGCCCCUACCACACUCAAGCCCAACAGUUUCCACUGCCAUGAUGGAGUUAAGCUCCACUUUUUAACAGCAGACUUGAAGGGCCGCCUGCGGACGCUUUACGCCCAAUAAUUCCGGAUAACGCUUGCCACUCCCGUAUUACCGCGGCUGCUGGCACA
rnacentral:misc_RNA from 1 species